AUUCCCGGAGUGCCUCGCAGCGGCAGGGAUACCGGAUCCUACUGGAGGAAAGGGCUGACAUCAUUCCUCACACAUGACAAUCACUCAAAAAAAUAGUUGUUGAAAGAAGUGUGAGUGAAGGAACUGAUGGAAGCUUUCCAGCUGGUAUCUAAAGGAACUCACAACCCCGGGAGAAGAGGAACGGAAAGUGUAAGCAAUGGAUUCUUCACAUUCCUGCAGUGACCAGGAAGAAGAGGAGCUUCAGAGCCAGUCUGCUCCC
rnacentral:lncRNA from 1 species